UACGAAGGUGGCAAGCGUUGUUCGGAAUUACUGGGCGUAAAGCGCACGUAGUCGGCUUUGCAAGUCGGGUGUGAAAUCCCCGGGCUCAACCUGGGAACUGCAUCCGAGACUGCAUUGCUAGAGUAUGGGAGAGGGAAGCGGAAUUUCUGGUGUAGCAGUGAAAUGCGUAGAUAUCAGAAGGAACAUCAGUGGCGAAGGCGGCUUCCUGGACCAAUACUGACGAUCAGGUGCGAAAGCGUGGGGAGCAAACAGG
rnacentral:rRNA from 1 species